rnacentral:rRNA from 1 species
GACCCGUCUUGAAGCACGGACCAAGGAGUCUAACAUGUACGCGAGUCAUUGGGAAUGUUAAACCCAAAGGCAUAAUGAAAGUAAAGAUCCAUAUUGUGGAUUUGAGGAGAGAUCAUGGUUGUAUUUGUCAUUCCGAAAGGUUUGUAUGCAUAUGAUAUGCGCAUCUCCUGGACGUCUAUACUUCUGAAAGUUGGGCGUACCUAGAGCGUACACGUUGGGACCCGAAAGAUGGUGAACUAUGCCUGGUCAGGACGAAGCCAGGGGAAACCCUGGUGGAGGUUCGUAGCGAUUCUGACGUGCAAAUCGAUCGUCGGAACUGGGUAUAGGGGCGAAAGACUAAUCGAACCAUCUAGUAGCUGGUUCCCUCCGAAGUUUCCCUCAGGAUAGCUGGCGCUUAUACCAGUCUCAUCCGGUAAAGCGAAUGAUUAGAGGCCUUGGGGCCGAAACGACCUCAACCUAUUCUCAAACUUUAAAUGGGUGAGAAGUCAGGCUUGCUUGAUCGAAG